rnacentral:rRNA from 1 species
UACGUAGGGUCCGAGCGUUGUCCGGAAUUAUUGGGCGUAAAGGGCUCGUAGGCGGUUUGUCGCGUCGGGAGUGAAAACUCAGGGCUCAACCCUGAGCGUGCUUCCGAUACGGGCAGACUAGAGGUAUGCAGGGGAGAACGGAAUUCCUGGUGUAGCGGUGAAAUGCGCAGAUAUCAGGAGGAACACCGGUGGCGAAGGCGGGUCUCUGGGUAGUAACUGACGCUGAGGAACGAAAGCGUGGGUAGCGAACAGG